GCUCUCGCAUCCUUUCUGGAGAAUACAAAGUAAACAAGGCGGCCCCAAAAUGUCCAGCUUCUCGUGUUUGCUGCUCUCCUUGCAGGGUGCAUGGGCAGCCGUGAUAAUCCAAGUCCCUUCAUCCCCAGUCCAGACAGGGCCACACACUAAUGCAUUCCUGCCUUGCCAUUACACUUUUGACCCUCCCAGGACCAUAAACGCUUCUGCCCUGAUUGUGAGAUGGUCGCUGAGAGGAAGAACCAUUAUAAAGUUGCAUGAGAGUAUUUCAACCUAUAGACCGAGGGGAGCAGUGCUUAAUUGGGCCACAGUGCGAGAGGGCAAUGCCAGCGUCUUCAUCACAGAUGUAAGAGGUGAUGAUGUCGGGGUGUAUACGUGUUGUGUUAGCCAUCCUCCUGACGUUGCUGAAGGGAAGGUGACAUUGAAAUUAGGAGCUCCCCCACGCCUAACACUCGGCCCCACAGAAGUGCUGCUGGGAAAACCAAUCAAUUUGACGUGUGCAGCAUCCGACUUUUACCCUGGCCGUGUCUCUGUGAAGUGGCUGCGAGGCAGUGAGACUCUGAAAGUUGACUCGCCCCCUGCCAAGCUUGAGGCCAAUUACCACUUCUAUGCAGAGAGUGUCCUGGAGUUCACCCCACAAAUCUCGGACGCUGGUGUCACCUUCUCAUGCCACAUCCAACACCCGGCAGCGAAAGACCCAAUCAGUCAAGAUAUUGAGCUGAAGGUGGUAGCUCUCCCACGCCUAACACUCGGCCAUACAGACGUAGAGCUGGGCGAACCAAGCAACUUCUUGUGCGCGGCAUCUGACUUUUACCCUGGCAAUGUCUCUGUAAAGUGGCUGCGAGGCAGUGAGACUCUGAAAGUUGACUCGCCCCCUGUCCAGGAAGGGCCCAAUGGUCUCUUCUAUGCAGAGAGUGUCCUGGAGUUCACACCACAAAUCUCUGACUCUGGCGUUACCUUCUCAUGCCACAUCCAUCACCAAGCGAGAAAAGACCCAAUCAGUCAAGAUUUUGACCUGAAGGUGCAAGCUCGCCCAGAACUUCAUAUGCUCACCAGGCCAUCAGGGAAGACGUUCUUGGUAGCGGAGUGCCUAGCGUGUGGGUUUUACCCACAAAACGUUACAGUGCAGUGGCUGCAAAAUGGAGAGCCGAUCCAAGGGAAAAUAUACGAGUCGGAACUUGUACAGAAUCCUAAUGGGACGUUCUCAACCGGAAGCGUCUUCUUCCCAAAUCAGGACCAUUUUGCAGCCAAUUUUACCUGCCAGGUACAACAUGAAGCACUGGAGGCACCACUGGAGGAGACGAUCCCCUGGGAGCCAGAAGCUCUAGGAUACUUUGGAUCACCGAUGACUUGGCUACUAGGAUCUGCGGGACAUGUUGUGGGAAUUGGCACGGGAGUUGGAGCGACGUUGAUGUACCAAAGACGCAGAGCCGUGUAAGCUCAAGCUGCGCUGAAUGACGAAACCCUCCUGAAGAAGAUGUCGAAAGUCAGGAGGGAAAAGCCAGAUGAAGUCUUUGGUAUCUAACAGUCCACGGAAUGACAUUUUGGCACAGGGUUGUUCUAGGCAAUGCAAUAUUGUUCCAUUUCAUUAUGUAUUUCCUAGAAAAUCUAUUUCAAGUAUGAUAAUUGCAAGUCAAGGCGAUUUAAAUCAUUUAAAAUCAACCUUCCAUUCUGAAAUUAUAUACAUAUAGUAGAGCUCUGCACUCUUCGGGUAUUCUAAGAAAGCAAGGGAUAUUGAGGCUUUUAAGAUGGAUAUUAUAAUUUGUUAGUUUCAGGGCUGUGCCUCUCCCAACUCAGGGCCCCAAACGAGCCCAAGGAACACCUGAUCCAGCCUGAUCUUCAUACUGAUGACCAGUUGUGUUGUGACAUACAAAAGAGUGCCUAGCUUGAGGGUUGGGCUACUGUUUAAUUAAGGUUAAUAAACCCUUCAUGUCAGGAGGCAGGUUGGGGAACAAGAAUCUGCAUCUCCUUGCCUCCCCGCUCUGACUGGAGCAUCGAGAGCAAGAGGGUUCAAUCCUGCCUGGUGCUGCUUCACCAACACAUCCCCCAGUCUGCCUCCCCUCUUUCUCCAUCAUUUCCCUCCCCGUUCCAGUUUGUGUAUAAUACGAUUUCUUUUCUCCUUUAGUUUUUCACCUUAUACACUGCAUUAUCUGUAUGGCUAUACUUUAGGUUGACGUCUACCAAGUUAUGUUUCUUGUUUUUUGUGUUCUGAAUUCUG